GCAGCUAUUGAAAACCAGGCUCCAAGCCCUGUGGUUUAGAGUAGCCUAGAGCCCCCCCGGCACCUCUUCGCUCAGAGCGGGUUCGAAUCCAACCCGGGUACGGUCCGAUCACGCUCCACAGGCGAAGUGCGUUUUCCAGCAGCCGGGUCUGCACCGGGCCGGUAUUUUUAGGGGGGUGGCCAUUCUAGGUCACACCCCUAAGAAUGGGGAACAUUGCACGGGAUUAAGGCAAAAGGGGGUUCCAAAAAUGGAAGAUUUGACGUAAUUGCAGAUAUUGGCGGCGUUUUACGUCACUGCCACCUGGCAUAACUUCCCCACGAGUGCGUGCGGCUCUCUUCCCCUUCCACGCGUGGGUCUGAUUCAAGAUGGCGGUGCUGGCAGUUUGCGAGAACUUCUGUCUCCCAUCCAGUUGCUGCAACCGAGACCUGAAGGUGUUGGAACCAGUUAAUUAUUAUUUCUUUGGCAUUGUUGGACAUUGUUCGGAAUUGCCGGCGUGUGUUUGGUUUUAAGUAAAAUGAAAUAAAAUGGGGGUCUCCUUUGAAAGGCGCAUGCUAGUGUCAUGUGUGGACACACAUUCCAAGCUGCACAUCUGUCUUGCAGCGUGCUGUGGUCACUGUCUAGAGGGAUUCGGUUCUCUCUCCCAGAUCCGGGACAAGCACGUGCCUGUUCGCUGAUCACUGAAAUAUACGUGUUCAGUAGAGCUUUCGUCUGACAAAGAGAGCCAGUACUUGGUGAACAUGGCUGCUGCAAGUCUAGUUUUGCCGCGACCUGCCUGUUGCUGAAGCCUCACUCCAGCGGGAUUCACUCUGUUUCCACAGCCGAUCUAGAGAGCCAGUACUUGACUGCUGCAAGUCCAUUUUUCGAAGCCUGCCUCUCGGUUAAACCUCACUCCAGCGGGAUUCACUCUGUUUCCACAGCCGGACUGUCCCCCCAUGGCUCCGCUGAAGUCUGGCUCUGCUACCUCAAUCCACCCAUGUCCCAGAGAUGGUUCUGCUCCUGUUAUUGUCUGUGUUCCUUUUGCACUGUACUCAAUAAACUAUGGUAUGCUCCA